rnacentral:rRNA from 1 species
UACGAAGGGGGCGAGCGUUGUUCGGAUUUACUGGGCGUAAAGGGCGCGCAGGCGGCUAUCUUUGUCAGGCGUGAAAGCCCCCGGGCUUAACCUGGGAAUGGCGCUUGGGACGGGGGUGGCUAGAGAUCGGGGAGAGGAGAGUGGAAUUCCCAGUGUAGAGGUGAAAUUCGUAGAUAUUGGGAAGAACACCGGUGGCGAAGGCGGCUCUCUGGAACGCAACUGACGCUGAGACGCGAAAAGCGUGGGGGAGCAAACAGGG